AAAGGAAUUGGAGUUGGAUUCACUAUUGGAUUUUGUGGAGUAUGUGUCAAUUUAGAGACGAUAAAGCAUUAUUGGAGAAAUUCUUAUUUUGUAAUCAUGCAUAGCCUGAGAAAUGUUCUAUCAAAGGCACUGCGCUGAGAAGAAAGCUUACUGCAAUUGACAGUAGAUUCCUCUGGUGAUGAAGAUCAGACUUAGUGGCUGCAAGGAUUCUAAGAGUUCAAAGUUUAAAAACAACAGAAUUAAUGGGUCAAGCUUGAAGCAUUUGAAUAACUAUUCUUUUUUUAGUAGUUGAUGCUUUUGACUAUUGUUAAGUAAGUUUGUAAACUUUGUUUCUACAAUUACACUUACCAAACAAGAGAUUCAAACACUUGAUGUUCAACCGA